GUUAAGAAAUGUGGGGAUGUGAAAUUUUCUGUUGGGCCGGUGGAAAUGAAACUUGAAGACUACUUUAAGUACUCUGAUCAAGUGAGGGAAGAAAGGCCCUUGUAUUUGUUUGACCCAAAGUUUGCGGAGAAAAUUCCUCAAUUAGGAAAGGAUUAUGAUGUCCCAAUGUACUUCAAUGAGGAUUUGUUUAGUGUUUUGGGUAAUGAGAGGCCAGAUUAUAGGUGGAUUAUAAUUGGACCUGCAGGGUCUGGCUCGUCAUUUCACAUCGAUCCAAAUUCUACCUCUGCUUGGAAUGCGGUAACCAAAGGAUCCAAGAAAUGGA
rnacentral:misc_RNA from 1 species